AACGUAGGAGACAAACGUUAUCCGGAGUUACUGGGCGUAAAGCGCGUGUAGGCGGCUUGGUAAGUCCGCUCUGAAAGCCCGGGGCUCAACCCCGGGAGGCGGGUGGAUACUGUCAAGCUUGAGUCCGGAAGAGGCGAGUGGAAUUCCUGGUGUAGCGGUGAAAUGCGCAGAUAUCAGGAGGAACACCAAUGGCGAAGGCAGCUCGCUGGGACGUGACUGACGCUGAGAUGCGAAAGCGUGGGGAGCAAACAGG
rnacentral:rRNA from 1 species